GUCCUUAGCCGCUCAACCGGUACCAUCCUCCAAACCCAGCAAUCCAUUUCUCUGUCUCUUCAAGAAGUCGAUAGCCUUCCUCUCUCCUCCAUUUCUGCAACGGAAACCAAAGGCCUCAAAGCUGCACCUCCUCUGUUCCAAGAUGGGGAACGAGGCAGAUCCACCCCCAAACUUGUUUACAGCUGCAAAUACAGAGCCACUUUCCUCAGGUAGAGUUCGGGAUCCGAGUAAGGCCAAGACUAAUAGAAACUGCAAGGAGCAAUGACGCCCACAUGGAGCUGCUGUACACACAUCAAAGGUGGUUGCAAGAACUCGGAUCUACAAAUGGAAUGUAAAUCAAAUCCCUGCACUGCGUUAAAAUUCAAAAUGGUUUCACGUCUCUGAAAAUCAUACGGAUUUGUGGAUGUUGACUGUGUUCUGUGAAUUUGCAUGUCUCCAUUUGAUGAAUCUGGGAGCAAAAAUUUGCAUGAAACUUGAUCUGCGAUAUGUGGACCCAUAUGCACACUUGGAUCCCCGAUUGUA